UACGAAGGUAGCAAGCGUUGUUCGGAUUUACUGGGCGUACAGGGAGCGUAGGCGGUUCGGUAAGCCCUCUGUGAAAUCUCCAGGCUUAACUGGGAGGGUGCAGCGGAAACUAGAGUGCUAGAGGGUGGGAUAGGUAAGCGGAAUUCCUGGUGUAGCGGUGAAAUGCGUAGAUAUCAGGAGGAACACCUGUGGUGUAGACAGCUUACUGGACCACUUCUGACGCUGAGGCACGAAAGCGUGGGUAGCAAACAGG
rnacentral:rRNA from 1 species